UCAGGCCUAACACAUGCAAGUCGAACGAGAUUAUAGGGUAAGCUUGCUUACCUUAUAUGACAGUGGCGCACGGGUGCGUAACGCGUAUGCAAUCUACCUUAAUCAGGGGGAUAGCCUCUCGAAAGAGAGAUUAAUACCGCAUAACAUUAUGAUAUGGCAUCAUAUUAUAAUCAAACAUUUAUGGGAUUAAGAUGAGCAUGCGUAACAUUAGCUAGUUGGUGAGGUAACGGCUCACCAAGGCAACGAUGUCUAGGGGAUCUGAGAGGAUGACCCCCCACACUGGUACUGAGACACGGACCAGACUCCUACGGGAGGCAGCAGUAAGGAAUAUUGGUCAAUGGACGCAAGUCUGAACCAGCCAUGCCGCGUGCAGGAAGACGGCCCUAUGGGUUGUAAACUGCUUUUAUACGGGAAUAAACCUUCUUUCGUGAAAGAAGCUGAA
rnacentral:rRNA from 1 species